AGCAUAAAAAAGAUGUACAGAAAGGUAACAUGUCCACGGGCCUAGCUGAAGCAUGCUAUGCUUCAUCCAGUAAACCACUCUGGGAGAACAUGAGAAUAAUAAAGCAUACCGAAAACCCAAGGCAAGGAUUAGUCCGGGAAGCUUUGGAAAUUUUUAAAAAAGAAAAAACAGAAACCCUCCUUAAUGAUAGGUGCUCAAAAAAGCUUCCAGCACUGUGGAGGUUCGCAUUAGAGAACGACUAGGAACAUUCUUACAAUUCCCUUACGGCGCACAACAUGAAGACGCGUUUUUUCUACAGUACCUCCCUUAUUUCGUUAUAUAUUGUUUAAUUUAAUUUUGUUUUAUUUUCUUAUAUGUUAAUUUAAUUUAUUUAUUA
rnacentral:lncRNA from 1 species